rnacentral:rRNA from 1 species
CCGGCGAGUGAGCGGCAACAGCUCAAAUUUGAAAUCUGGCCGCAAGGUCCGAGUUGYAWUUUGCAGAGGAUGCUUUUGGCGAGGUGCCUUCCGAGUUCCCUGGAACGGGACGCCAUAGAGGGUGAGAGCCCCGUACGGUAGGACCACCGAGCCUUUGUAAAGCUCCUUCGACGAGUCGAGUAGUUUGGGAAUGCUGCUCUAAAUGGGAGGUGUACGUCUUCUAAAGCUAAAUACCGGCCAGAGACCGAUAGCGCACAAGUAGAGUGAUCGAAAGAUGAAAAGCACUUUGAAAAGAGGGUUAAAAAGUACGUGAAAUUGUUGAAAGGGAAGCAUUUAUGACCAGACUUGGACUUGGUUGAACAUCCGGCGUUCUCGCCGGUGCACUCUGCCAGUUCAGGCCAGCAUCAGUUUGCCCCGGGGGACAAAGGCGGUGGGAAUGUGGCUCCUCCGGGAGUGUUAUAGCCCGCCGUGUAAUGCCCUGGGGCGGACUGAGGAACGCGCUUCGGCUCGGAUGCUGGCGUAAUGGUCAUCAAUGACCCGUCUUGAAACACGGACC